rnacentral:rRNA from 1 species
UACGUAGGGAGCAAGCGUUGUCCGGAAUCAUUGGGCGUAAAGCGCGCGUAGGCGGCCCCGUAAGUCCGCUGUGAAAGUCAAAGGCUCAACCUUUGAAAGCCGGUGGAUACUGUGGGGCUAGAGUCCGGAAGAGGCGAGUGGAAUUCUUGGUGUAGCGGUGAAAUGCGUAGAUAUCAAGAGGAACACCUGCGGCGAAGGCGGGUUGCUGGGCCGACACUGACGCUGAGGCGCGAAAGCUAGGGGAGCGAACGGG